UACAGAGGUCUCAAGCGUUGUUCGGAUUCAUUGGGCGUAAAGGGCGCGUAGGCGGUGGGGUAAGUCUGGUGUGAAAUCUCGGAGCUCAACUUCGAAAUUGCACUGGAUACUGCUCUGCUAGAGGGCUGGAGAGGAGAUCGGAAUUCACGGUGUAGCAGUGAAAUGCGUAGAUAUCGUGAGGAAGACCGAUGGCGAAGGCAGGUCUCUGGGCAUUAACUGACGCUGAGGAGCGAAAGCAUGGGGAGCGAACAGG
rnacentral:rRNA from 1 species